UCUGCCUGCAGUGUCAAAUCGAUGGCCUGGC
rnacentral:piRNA from 1 species